CUGACUGCUAUCGGAUGAUACUGAGCCAUGCGAGUCAUUGUAGCAAUACAAGGCGGACGGCUCAGUAACACGUAGUCAACCUAACCUAUGGACGUGGAUAACCUCGGGAAACUGAGAAUAAAACACGAUAGAUCAUGAUGCCUGGAAUGGCUUAUGGUUCAAACAAUUUAUUGCCAUAGGAUGGGACUGCGGCCUAUCAGCUUGUUGGUGAGGUAAUGGCCCACCAAGGCUAUAACAGGCACGGGCUCUGAGAGGAGAAGCCCGGAGAUGGGUACUGAGACACGGACCCAGGCCCUAUGGGGCGCAGCAGGCGAGAAACCUUAGCAAUGUGCGAAAGCACGACUAGGUUAAUCCGAGUGAUUCCUGUUGAAGGAAUCUUUUGUCAGUCGUAAAACCACAGACGAAUAAGGGGUGGGCAAGUCUGGUGUCAGCCGCCGCGGUAAUACCAGCACCUCGAGUGGUCAGGAGGUUUAUUGGGCCUAAAGCAUCCGUAGCCGGCUUUGCAAGUCUCCGGUUAAAUCCAGCUGCUCAACAGAUGGGCUGCCGGAGAUACUACGCAGCUAGGGAGCGGGAGAGGUAGACGGUAUUCUGUGGGUAGGGGUAAAGUCCACUGAUCCAUAGAGGACCACCAGUGGCGAAGGCGGUCUACCAGAACGCGUUCGACGGUGAGGGAUGAAAGCUGGGGGAGCAAACCGGAUUAGAUACCCGGGUAGUCCCAGCUGUAAACGAUGCAAACUCGGUGAUGCAUUGGCUUAUGGCCAAUGCAGUGCCGCAGGGAAGCCGUUAAGUUUGCCGCCUGGGAAGUACGGACGCAAGUCUGAAACUUAAAGGAAUUGGCGGGGGAGCACCACAAGGGGUGAAGCCUGCGGUUCAAUUGGAGUCAACGCC
rnacentral:rRNA from 1 species